UACGGGGGGUGCGAGCGUUGUCCGGAAUCACUGGGCGUAAAGGGCGCGUAGGUGGCGGUCCAAGUCAACGGUGAAAGCUCGGGGCUCAACCCCGAGUCGGCCGUCGAUACUGGGUUGCUUGAGCACUGUAGAGGCAGAUGGAAUUCCGGGUGUAGCGGUGGAAUGCGUAGAGAUCCGGAAGAACACCGGUGGCGAAGGCGGUCUGCUGGGCAGUAGCUGACACUGAGGCGCGACAGCGUGGGGAGCAAACAGG
rnacentral:rRNA from 1 species